UACGUAGGGUGCAAGCGUUGUCCGGAAUUAUUGGGCGUAAAGAGCUCGUAGGUGGUUUGUCGCGUUGUUCGUGAAAACCGGGGGCUUAACUCUCGGCGUGCGGGCGAUACGGGCAGACUGGAGUACUGCAGGGGAGACUGGAAUUCCUGGUGUAGCGGUGGAAUGCGCAGAUAUCAGGAGGAACACCGGUGGCGAAGGCGGGUCUCUGGGCAGUAACUGACGCUGAGGAGCGAAAGCGUGGGGAGCGAACAGG
rnacentral:rRNA from 1 species